GAUGAACGCUGGCGGCGUGCCUAAUACAUGCAAGUAGAACGCUGAAGGAGGAGCUUGCUCUUCUGGAUGAGUUGCGAACGGGUGAGUAACGCGUAGGUAACCUGCCUGGUAGCGGGGGAUAACUAUUGGAAACGAUAGCUAAUACCGCAUGACAACAGUUAUUGCAUGAUAACUGUUUAAAAGGGGCAACUGCUCCACUACCAGAUGGACCUGCGUUGUAUUAGCUAGUUGGUGAGGUAACGGCUCACCAAGGCGACGAUACAUAGCCGACCUGAGAGGGUGAUCGGCCACACUGGGACUGAGUCACGGCCCAGACUCCUACGGGAGGCAGCAGUAGGGAAUCUUCGGCAAUGGACGGAAGUCUGACCGAGCAACGCCGCGUGAGUGAAGAAGGUUUUCGGAUCGUAAAGCUCUGUUGUAAGAGAAGAACGAGUGUGAGAGUGGAAAGUUCACACUGUGACGGUAUCUUACCAGAAAGGGACGGCUAACUACGUG
rnacentral:rRNA from 1 species